rnacentral:rRNA from 1 species
CCCUAUGGGGUGCCGGUGCGGGAUUUCGUCAGCGGCGAGAAGCAUAUUUUGGGAUUUGUUCAUCCUGAAGACCUGGAAAUAGUCCGCAAAUUUUACGAGAAUCUGCCUGAGGCGGAAUUCGAUGAACUGGAGUACAGGAUCAUCAGUUCCACCAAGAGAACCAAAUGGGUCGUCGAUGAAGGGCACGUCGUCUACACCAAUAAAGGGCAUAUUCGCACCAUCGAUCAUGUCAUCCGGGACAUCACCGAGGAGAAAAAAGCCCUCGACGCCCUGCGCCUGAGCGAAGAAAAAUACCGCGACUUUUUUGAAUCGACCAGCGAUAUGGCCUUCACCAUCACCCCGGAGGGCGAUUUCAUUGAUAUCAAUGACGCGGGCCUGAAGCUCCUGGGGAUGGAGGGC